rnacentral:rRNA from 1 species
CCUACGGGAGGCUGCAGUGAGGAAUAUUGGUCAAUGGGCUUACGCCUGAACCAGCCAAGUCGCGUGAGGGAAGACUGCCCUAUGGGUUGUAAACCUCUUUUGUCAGGGAGCAACGCCGGCUACGUGUAGCCGGACUGAGAGUACCUGAAGAAAAAGCAUCGGCUAACUCCGUGCCAGCAGCCGCGGUAAUACGGAGGAUGCGAGCGUUAUCCGGAUUUAUUGGGUUUAAAGGGUGAGUAGGCGGAAUGCCAAGUCAGCGGUAAAAUCGCGGGGCUCAACCUCGCUCCGCCGUUGAAACUGGCGGUCUUGAGUGGGCGAGAAGUAUGCGGAAUGCGUGGUGUAGCGGUGAAAUGCAUAGAUAUCACGCAGAACUCCGAUUGCGAAGGCAGCAUACCGGCGCCCAACUGACGCUGAAGCACGAAAGCGUGGGUAUCGAACAGGAUUAGAUACCCUUGUAGUC